GACGAACGCUGGCGGCGUGCUUAACACAUGCAAGUCGAACGAUGAAGCUGGAGCUUGCUCCGGUGGAUUAGUGGCGAACGGGUGAGUAACACGUGAGUAAUCUGCCCUUGACUCUGGGAUAACUGCGGGAAACUGUAGCUAAUACCGGAUACGACACCUUCGGGCAUCCGAUGGGUGUGGAAAGAAUUUCGGUCAAGGAUGAACUCGCGGCCUAUCAGCUAGUUGGUGAGGUAAUGGCUCACCAAGGCGACGACGGGUAGCCGGCCUGAGAGGGUGACCGGCCACACUGGGACUGAGACACGGCCCAGACUCCGACGGGAGGCAGCAGUGGGGAAUAUUGCACAAUGGGCGAAAGCCUGAUGCAGCAACGACGCGUGAGGGAUGAAGGCCUUCGGGUUGUAAACCUCUUUUAGUUGGGAAGAAGCGAAAGUGACGGUACCAACAGAAAAAGCACCGGCUAACUACGUGCCAGCAGCCGCAGUAA
rnacentral:rRNA from 1 species